ensembl:snRNA U4 U4 spliceosomal RNA
AGCUUUAUGCAGUGGCAGUAUCAUAGCCAAUGGUGUUUAUCUGAGAUGCAAUUGUUGCUAAUUGAAAACUUUCCCCAAUACCCUGCUGUGAUGACUUGAAAUAUGGCAAUUUUUGACAGUCUCCAUGGAGA